rnacentral:lncRNA from 1 species
UUUCUAAGUCAUAAACACCAAAAUAAAUACUAGUGCAUGAAACAACCCUUCAUGCAUAGGGAAUUUCGAAAUUAAGUGUUUACAGCUUCUAACCAACUAUUUUAAUGCACUCAUUGGUAAUGAAGAAAUGUUCACAACUGCCAACCAACUCCUUUAAUGCAUUCCUUUGUCUUGAAGAAAAGCACCUUGAAACAGCUUUAACUUU